rnacentral:rRNA from 1 species
GAUGAACGCUGGCGGCGUGCCUAAUACAUGCAAGUCGAGCGAACGGACGAGAAGCUUGCUUCUCUGAUGUUAGCGGCGGACGGGUGAGUAACACGUGGAUAACCUACCUAUAAGACUGGGAUAACUUCGGGAAACCGGAGCUAAUACCGGAUAAUAUUUUGAACCGCAUGGUUCAAAAGUGAAAGACGGUCUUGCUGUCACUUAUAGAUGGAUCCGCGCUGCAUUAGCUAGUUGGUAAGGUAACGGCUUAUCAAGGCUACGCUGCGUAGCCGACCUGAGAGGAUGAUCGGCCACACUGGAGCUGAGACACCGUCCAGGCUCCUACGGGAGGCAGCAGUAGGGAAUCUUCCGCAAUGGGCGGAAGCCUUGCAGAGCAACGCCACGUGUGUGAUGAAAGUCUUCGGAUCGUAAAACUCUGUUAUUGGGGAAGAACAUAUGUGUAAGUAACUGUGCACAUCUUGACGGUACCUAAUCAAAAAGCCACGGCUAACUACGUG